CCCUUAGAUGUUCUGGGCCGCACGCGUGCUACACUGAGUGGAUCAGCGGGUCAGGUUGCGCGAAAGUGUUUCCUAAUCUUUAAAUCCGCUCGUGAUGGGGAUUGACGGUUGCAAUUUUCCGUCAUGAACGAGGAAUACCUUGAAGCGCGGGUCAUCAUCCCGCGCUGAAUACGUCCCUGCCCUUUGUACACACCGCCCGUCGCUCCUACCGAUUGAGUGGUCCGGUGAGGCUUUGGGAUCUGAGCGGAAAGAGCGUUUCGCUGUUUCUGCCCGGAAAACUCAGUCGAACCUUAUCAUUUAGAGGAAGGAGAAGUCGUAACA
rnacentral:rRNA from 1 species